UCUCCGUUGGUGAACCAGCGGAGGGAUCAUUACAGGACUCGCAAGACUCCUACAACCCUGUGAACUUAACUAUAAGCACGUUGCUUCGGCGGGUGUCUCGGAGGGGGUUCUCCCUCCCCGAGACGCUAAACCCGCCGGCAGCCUACUAUACUCUGUCUCUUUGCGUUGGCAUCUCGAGUACAAUCAAACAAGUUAAAACUUUCAACAACGGAUCUCUCGGUUCUGGCAUCGAUGAGGAACGCAGC
rnacentral:misc_RNA from 1 species